rnacentral:rRNA from 1 species
AGAGUUUGAUCCUGGCUCAGAUUGAACGCUGGCGGCAGGCCUAACACAUGCAAGUCGAGCGGGGUUUUCGGACCUAGCGGCGGACGGGUGAGUAAUGCGUAGGAAGCUACCCGAUAGAGGGGGAUACCAGUUGGAAACGACUGUUAAUACCGCAUAAUGUCUACGGACCAAAGUGUGGGACCUUCGGGCCACAUGCUAUCGGAUGCGCCUACGUGGGAUUAGCUAGUUGGUGGGGUAAUGGCUCACCAAGGCGACGAUCCCUAGCUGGUUUGAGAGGAUGAUCAGCCACACUGGAACUGAGACACGGUCCAGACUCCUACGGGAGGCAGCAGUGGGGAAUAUUGGACAAUGGGCGCAAGCCUGAUCCAGCCAUGCCGCGUGUGUGAAGAAGGCCUUCGGGUUGUAAAGCACUUUCAGCGAGGAGGAAGGGUUAGUAGUUAAUAGCUGCUAAUUUUGACGUUACUCGCAGAAGAAGCACCGGCUAACUCUGUGCCAGCAGCCGCGGUAAUACAGAGGGUGCAAGCGUUAAUCGGAAUUACUGGGCGUAAAGCGCACGUA